rnacentral:lncRNA from 1 species
UUUUGUAUACUGUGAAAGUACUUUUAUUCGUGGGGUACCAAUUUUCCUGGUUUUCGUGGAUGAUUUUAUCCACGAAUUUAAGUGUCUAACGAAAUAAAACAAUCAUUGUCCAAAUCAAGACAUGGAAAGAUACCUAUCGGUAGGUUUGACUACUGAUAUGAUCUAGAGAAUAUAUUGAAUAACGCCAAAUCUGAGAAUACUUUAAUAGCAGUCACAGAACUACAACCGCAUGCAGGAUGAUACCCAUUUAAUCUUUAAUAACCUAAACUGUACAA